rnacentral:misc_RNA from 1 species
AAAGAUGGGAGAUAACUCUAUUUAAUGUGAAACUAACUUCCGCAUUCAUGAAACGGACGAAUAUGUAUUCGAUGACAAACAUCUGAGAUGAUUGAUUCCUAUUACCAUGGUGAACACACCUAUUCCACACAGCCUACGGUCAGAGGCGAAGAAAGCGGCCAAAAUUUUACGUGGAUUUACUGUUCCCACAGCAAGCAUGGGCCCUGACAAACUCAUUCCAGCUGGCAUUCUGGUGAAGGCGAAGGGCCUGGCUAUCCUGACAGUGUUUAAGGCUGGGUUCCUGGUGACAGCACGAGGCGGAAGUGGCAUUGUCAUUGCCAAGGUCGGGGAUGACCUAGAUGCAGAAUGGUCGGCACCAUCAGCCUUGGGCAUUGCAGGUCUUGGAGGCGGAUUUGAAAUUGGCGCAGAGGUCACUGACUUCGUCAUCAUCCUAAACUCACACUCAUCAGUCGAAGCUUUCUCAAAGGGAGGUAAUUUGACCCUCGGAGGUAAUUUCUCAAUAGCAGCGGGACCGCUGGGGCGUAACCUUGAGGCUGAUGUAGCUUUGAGGAGCCCAGCGGCCAUCUACACCUACUCCAAGACGAAGGGACUGUUUGCCGGCAUAUCGGUGGAGGGAAGUGCUCUCAUAGAGAGAAAGGAUGCCAAUAAAAAAUUUUAUGGUCAGGAUAUCCGCGCCCACCAGAUUCUGUCAGGUGAAGUUCCACGUCCGGAGGAAUGCAGCGCAUUGUACGAAACACUGGAGAUGCACAGGAAGCAAGCAGAGAAACAGAUGCUAGAUAUGGCUAAAAAAGCUGCCACCAAGCAAGCUCACACCAUGGGGGAGAAACUGAAGAGCCGCUUUUCUAGCACAAAGUCCAGGUCUGCAAGGCCCGGCUCUGAUGAUUCCAUGUCUAAGUAUAGCCUUCCCGCAUCAUCAUCACACUACAGUCAGGAUAGCAGUGAUGAGGAAUCGUCCAAUCCAAUGGAUCGGUAUAGUUUACCUAAGUCUCACUCUAGACACAGUGUUAGUGAGGGUGACUUCUCAGAGUCCAAGUACAGCCUGCCAAAAUCCUCAGACCCUGGGGACAAGUACAGCAUGCCCGAGUCAAGGUCAAGGUCACAGUAUAAUCUUUAUGGCGGUUCUGAACUAUCCACUGACGACCCCAUGUCUAAGUUUGACCUCCCUUUUGCCAUGCCCCGAGCUCAGUCCUGUCGAUCCGUACGUACUGUCACACAGCACUCAUCAACCAAUGGGGGGUCAAAGACAGUCGUAAAGCGCACCGUCCAGAGUCGCACCACUCGGACUUCAUCCAAAGGAUCUGAAGUGGUGACCUCGCAGGAUGCCUGGUCAAAGGUGAAUGUUACACCAGGAAGGGGCAUUGCUAAUUUUGCAUAUGAAUCACAGCUUCCUUGUGACAUUUCCUUCAGAAAAGGAGAAGAAAUCCUCAUUUUGACUCGGACACAGUCUACCGAUGACUGGUGGGAAGGCACAUGUAGAGGGAAAACUGGUAUCUUCCCUGCCAAUUACAUCACUGUCAAGUAACAGUGUAGGAACUUUGUUAUGUUGAAAUAAUAGACGAAACAUUGAGUGGUUGUCUGUACUACCUCUGCCCUCUGACUUCCUAUAAUUAUGUUCCAUGGUUGUAUGAGAGAAUUUGAUUGAUUCCAGAGUCAUAUGAUGGGCCAACUGUGAUAAAAUUCUUACUGGUUACAUUGUAAUAUAAAUCUGUGUCUUUUAUGAUUUAUUGAAGAAACACAUGCUUCAGUAAAGGUGUUGUGGUCUUGUAACAUACAUUGGCUGUGCUGCAAACUCAACGGUAAUAAAGUCUGGCGAGUAACUUUGUCAGCAAUAUUGUAUCAAUUGUAUAUCCAAGUACUGUAUAGCGCUUUAGAGUGGCUUAUGUUAGCUAGAUAGGGUGCUAUAUCAAAUGCUGUAUAUUAUUAUUUUUAAUAGCAAUGCAGGCUGUAAGACAACAUUUGACAAUUCCGCAAUUAAAUUUCACGAUUAUAUAAUCAGUUUAUUAAGUUAUUUGAACAGCAAAGUCAGUGUACAGACAACCAGAUCAUGGACAUAACAAUAUAUAUAAUUGUUACCUAAACAAAUAGCUUACAUUCCUCACUCAACAUGAUAUUACAUUCUCUGUGCAUUGCAAUGGGCGUAUGAUAUGCUGAGCAACAUAAUAUGUUUUGACAAAUACACCGGAGUUGUGACCGUAAUGGUAGCCUGCCAGGUGUUGUAUACUAUGUACCUAGUUCUGUAGUACGAGCCCAAAUCGGGAAUCCUCGGUACUUUAUGUAAAAAAGUGUGUAGUUCCUGAUUGAUACCAGCCCCUGUACGCAAGGCUACCAUGGAUUGUCUCCCUUGUGUAUUAAUGAUUGAUACUAGCCCCUGUACGCAAGGCUACCAUGGAUUGUCUCCCUUGUGUAUUUAAACAUUAUUUAUUUUUACAUUUCAUUUGGGGGGUUUUCUGACUUAUUUCAAGCUUGAUUUGUAAACUAUUGUAAAUAUCAAAGCUUUUGCUUGAAAUUACUUUGAUAUAAUAAUUUCAUUUAUGGAUUUUUUUUCUAUAUAUAGAAAUACAUAUAUAAUUAUAUUUUUAAACAGUAUGCACAGGUCGUGAAGGUCAUUUGCUGAUUGACCUGUACAAGUUUAAGUGACUUGUCAUGUACGAAUUAUGCCAAUGAAAAGUUGUAUAACUGUUGAUAAAAAUGUGCAAAAUUGUUUCACAACAGGCAGCCAUUGUUAUGUUUGAUGAAAUAAUGUCCGUCUACGCAAUAAAUAAUUUUAAAUCAAUAUUAAACUGAUACAUCAGCAAGUCAUUCCAUAUGUUCUCCCCUUUCUUUACUUAAACUGAGCCAGAGAUUCAAAAACUCUGGAACAUUGUACAAGAUGUGUGUUGUAUGUUAUUUGUCUAGGACUUUUCUCUCCAGUUAUCAGAAGGGAUUUCAGCAACGCACUUUGUGGAAAUCGUAAGUUGAGGCCAUGACUAUAGUUUCUGUUUGGGCCUUGAUUAACCCUUUCACCACUGUAGACCAUAAUGGACUCAUCCAAAUCAAUGCAUGGAAGAGUUUACUAAAGUUACAUAGGGGUGAAAGGGUUAGUUGGUCAUUUAUGACUGUAGGUUCAACUCUACUGUUAGAUGUCCACCCAUAGUUACUGUAUGACUAUCUACACAAGUACAUACAGGUGUUACAUUGUAUCUUUGCAUUACUUUCAUGUUUUAUUAAUUAAUUAUGUGGCUAAUAUAAAGAAUAUAAUUUUGUAUUGAGGAAAUGAUAUGUAGACCAGUUAGCUUUACAAGAUCUGAGCUAAAGCAAUAGUUGUGAAGAUUUGUUGACAUUGUGGUUCUUAACCCUUUCACCAGUCACCACUGUAUACCAUAAUGGACUCAUCCAAAUCAAUAGAUGGAAGAGUUUACGGAAGUUACAUACUAGGGGUUAAAGGGUUAAACUAUAGCGAAGUAUUGUCUAUGACUAUUGGUAUACAAGUGUUUUACCUGUACACAAUGUACUAACUACUUGUUACUGUGAGUAAGUUAUAAGUUAUCACAUCACUGAGUGGAUGUGCUUUUUUAUAUAUUUUUUUAUAUUUUUAAGAUAAUACAUUACGUCUCCUACAUUUUUUUUUUUUUUACAGAUUUUCAAAUGAUCAGAGAAUUAAAAUCAGAGAAAAUCUGAAUUUCUUAAAUGCUUGGGUUGAUGUAUAAACAAGAUAUCCAUGACCUACUAAUGAGUAUUUACAUUGAUUUAUGUCCAAUCUUGUGAAUAUGUUCUCAAAUAUGUUUACUUGAAGCUUACAGCAUAACUUAUACUAAAGGAUAAACUCACUCACUCGGGUAUAACCAUUGUAUUUGUCUGAUAUGUAGGUUGUUGGCAUACACAUUACAUUUACAAGAAGGUGUUGACCUACAUUGAGGUUGUUGAUGUACCAGGUACAUUAAGAUUGUUGAUGUACCAGGUACAUUGAGGUUGUUGAUGUACCAGGUACAUUGAGGUUGUUGACGUACCAGGUACAUUGGGGUUGUUGACGUACCAGGUACAUUGAGGUUGUUGACGUACCAGGUACAUGGAGGUUGUUGAUGUACCAGGUACAUGGAGGUUGUUGAUGUACCAG